UACGUAGGGUGCGAGCGUUAAUCGGAAUUACUGGGCGUAAAGCGUGCGCAGGCGGUGAUGUAAGACAGGUGUGAAAUCCCCGGGCUUAACCUGGGAACUGCAUUUGUGACUGCAUCGCUGGAGUGCGGCAGAGGGGGAUGGAAUUCCGCGUGUAGCAGUGAAAUGCGUAGAUAUGCGGAGGAACACCGAUGGCGAAGGCAAUCCCCUGGGCCUGCACUGACGCUCAUGCACGAAAGCGUGGGGAGAAAACAGG
rnacentral:rRNA from 1 species